UACUCGUAUAACCAGAGAACAUAAAAAAUAAAACAAUGUAUAACCGGUUCCGCAAAUUUGGUGUUCUUUCAAUUUUUGUUGUUUUUUGUUUUAAUUUUUUGUUAUUUGCACGAGGGCUGCGCUUUAUUAUAAUUAUUAUUAUGGCAUAUUAUUUUAUUUGUUGGUGUUGCUUCUGCGUUCUUCUAAGCCAUGUCUCGGUGUUUGAAGUAUUGAGGCAGCUAAAGGCAAUUAAUAGGAAAUGUUCCUUUAUUGCAACCCCUUUCUCGACUCUCGACCAGAGAGUUAUAAGACUCGACAGAACCGAUAAACCAUAUCGGCAGGUGUUGAUUCUCCUGAAUAACGAGUCCUCUUACCAAUAUUUUGCUUCGCCUUGGAAGGGACAGGCCCGAUGCCGUCCUAAUCUAAGGGCCGUGGAGGAGUCACAAGCUGCUGGUGACCAACAGUACAGCAACGAGGACGUUGUAAGUGCUAGACACGUGGGCGAAGCCAGCGAACUUUGACUUAUCUCGGCCUAUAUGCCACACAAUUACAAGCAGAGCCACCUCUAGUGAUGCUAAAGAAAAUUCUGGCGGAGGCCAGACGAAAGAAAGCCAGUUUCAUUAUUUUUUCAGACGUGAACUCAAGGCACACUCUCUGGGGAAGCUCGGACAUA